GUCAAUGUAGCUUAACUUAAAGCGAAGCACUGAAAAUGCCUAGAUGGAUCCUUAGGAAUCCCAUGGACA
rnacentral:tRNA from 1 species